rnacentral:rRNA from 5 species
AGUCUCCUGAAGGAACGUUGAAGACGACGACGUUGAUAGGUCGGGUGUGUAAGCGCAGCGAUGCGUUGAGCUAACCGAUACUAAUGAACCGUGAGGCUUAACCUUACAACGCCGAAGGUGUUU